rnacentral:rRNA from 1 species
UACGUAGGGGGCUAGCGUUGUCCGGAAUCAUUGGGCGUAAAGAGCGUGUAGGCGGUCCGGUAAGUCAGCUGUGAAAGUCAAGGGCUCAACCCUUGAAUGCCGGUUGAUACUGUCGGGCUAGAGUCCGGAAGAGGCGAGUGGAAUUCCCCGGUGUAGCGGUGAAAUGCGCAGAUAUCGGGAGGAACACCAAUGGCGAAGGCAGCUCGCUGGGACGGUACUGACGCUGAGACGCGAAAAGCGUGGGGAGCAAACAGG